CCCGACAAGCCUUCCGCCUCUCUCCCGUCUCCUCCCCACUUCCCUUCCACCGUGGUCUCCUCCUCCUCCUCCUCUCCACCCGCAUCCGUGGCUCCGGUUGCGCUGCUCGGGAGCCCUCGCGGCUUUCUAGGAGGUCGCUGGAGCGGCCGAUUAGAGGGGCCAGCGCCGGCGGCGUCGGAUUCGGCGCCUCUUCCGGGCAACAGACUCCCGCUUCAGUUAAAGAGUGAUGGCUGAAACCAAGAUCCAUGCAAACAAGCAAGCAUAAGUUGCCAUGACGAAAUGCAUCAAAACAGACAUCAGAAAUGAGCAAACGGCACAACGCAAUACUGCCGGUAACUGUGUUAAAACGUCAUCCUCCAACACCGCAGAAGCUCCCGGGCAUGCAUCUGUCACUAUUCCGUCCAAUGUUGGCGAGAACACUAUGGCUGACAAUAAUGGUGUUAGACAGGAAUUGUCAGACAAGGAAUCCGACACCAGAAGGUUACCUCUGCUGCUGCGGGAAUGCUCUCUCAUUUCUUGAAAGGCGUGUUCAAUCACCACCAAGAAGGUUACUAUAUUAUUCUUUUUCUAUUUCUCCUGUUGGGGUUGAUUCUGGCAUCCACUGCAACAUGGCUCGCUCGUAAGCACUUCGCCCAGGCAGUUGCCCUUCUUGCACUUGUUUCACAGGUUCUUGUGGCUGGUUUGAUCGCGUCCACAUUUUCAUAACAAAGGCUGAAGGACUCUGCGAUUUGCUCAUUCAUUUAGGGGUAGAAUUGUGGUAUAUGACAUCAUUUACCACGCAUGUCUCCACAAAUACGAUGGUGUGCAUACUUUAGUUGGUACAAAGGGUAUGAUCGAGUUAUACUUCCAAUGUAAAAAAAAAAAGAGAGGGAUAGAAUAGUAUAUUAUAAAAUUUACUUGCUGUGAUACUAAAAUAUUGAUUAAUAAAAUGUUGCUAUCAGUUUGUCCCAA